UACAGGGGGGGACAAGUGUUACUCAUCAUGACUGGGCGUAAAGGGCAUCUAGGCGGUCUAUAAAUGUUUUUUGUUAAAUUCUUCGGAGGGUUCGAAGGGAACAAUUUAUACUUUUGGACUUGAGUCUGUUAAAUGGCAAGCUGAACUCUUGAUGGAAAGGUGGAAUUUCUUGAUAUCAAGGGGACAACCAACGGCGAAGGCAGCGGCCAGAGGCGUGACUGACGCUGAUAUGCGAAGGCGUGGGGGAUCAAAUGGG
rnacentral:rRNA from 1 species